rnacentral:lncRNA from 1 species
UUUCUGUUUUCUUUGGCCUGUCUUAAACAUUUCCUAAUGUUACAUAAAAUUUUUUAAAAAUCUAUUUAGAUUUAUCUAUAUUAUUUUUGAAUGCCUCUUUGUAGUUUUUUAGUGGUUGCUCAGGGUACUACAUUAUAUAUAGAUAACAUACCUCUACUAAUACCAUGAGGACAGAGAAGUGGUCUCAUUACCACUGAGAAGUGAUGAAAAUCCUAACUCUCUACUAGGUCCCCUCCCACUUCUCUCCAGCAUAGAGGUUUCCUUGUUACAAUGUGAAGGAGUCUUUUCCAAUGUGGGUUAAGGUAGGACCAUGGUUUUCCUGUGAUGUUUGACUGGAGUAGAGCACUUACUAUCUAAACGUUUUCUGUCUUAGAUUGGGCCAGAGUGGGGGAGGUAUAAAAAAAAAGUUUUCUGUCUUUAAAAAUUAAAUAAACAAAUAAAUAAUAGUUUUCUGUCUUCCUAAAUUGACUCUUAGUCCUUUGGCUACAGACAGCAGGCUUAUGUUGGAGCUUUCUUUACACUUGAUGCUUCCAGGUUACUGGCUUAUCAAGCUCCAAGUCUUUAUUUACAAGACAAAAAGAAAACCCAGGGAAUUUACCAUUAUAGUGUUCCUUGAAUCUUAAGGUUCCUAGCUGUUCUGCCUUCUUCUCUCCACCUUUCAUAAUCUUCUUAUGUGUGUUUUAUAUAUGCUGUCCAGGGUUUGGGUUGUACUUAACCAAAGAAAUAGGAAAAAGUAUGUCUAAUUCCAUCUUCCCAGCAAUGUGUUUCUUCCUUGGCUAUUUAAUAAAGAACACUUAAAAGAACUGAAGGGCUAUUGGCACAGUUGUUUUGAGAAGAAAGCACUAGCUAGCCAUUACAUUGUUCAUAUAAAUAUAUUCAUUAUCAGAUAAAUAUAUUUAUUGUUAAAUAAACAUAUGUUAGUUAUCAUAAAAUUUAAACUAAACCAGUAUUUAUUCUGAUUCUCAUUCUCAGGAAAUUUGGUUUUUCUUUAAGGCAAAGAGAAGUUUUCUUGUAAUGUGAAAUGAUUCAUUUUAAUAAUUCAAAAGAUUGUUCAAUUGUCAACUUGAUAUUAUAAAUGUUCUUUUAAGAUUUAUUUUAGAGAGAGAGAGAGAGAGAGAGCACGUGCGCAAGAGGGGGAGGGAGAGGGGCGGAGGGAGAGAAAGAAUCUUCAAGCAGACCCCCUGCUGAGCACGGAGCUUGAUGCUGGGCCCAAUCCCACAACCCUGAGAUCAUGACCUGAAAGGAAAUCACGAAUCAUUCAACUGACUGAGCCACCCAAGCGCCCAGAUAUUCUAAAUGUUCUUAUAUGAAAGUAUAUUUGUAUCAACUUGUUAAUAAAUGCUUUAAUUUGUAGCAGGUUACAGAUAGAGCAGUCUUCAGAUUAAAUUCUGCCACAAAUAUUACCAUCAAUAUAUUAGCAGAUACCAAGAAAGCAACCUGUUUUCUCAACUAGAUGAAGUCCCAUUCUCUAUCUUCUUAAAUGCUCUAAACAUACCUUAUAUUUUUUUCAAGAAAAGCAUGAAUUCUAGAAGCAAAAUCCAGUUAAUCUCUCAAUCAGCCUCAAGUGACCAGAAUCUUCUAAAUUGUAGGAACACAAGACUUUACUGUAUUUAAGUCUCAGACACCAACCCUAUAUGUGAGGGAAGGUAGGAAGGCUUCCUAGUUUCUUAUAAUCUUUCAUGCAAGAGUGGGAGAGCAUCUCUAAAAUAUUUCAAUCAAUCUUUUCAUGAAAAUAUCCACUAGCAUCCCCUACACAUCACAGAGAAUUCAAUUGCUCGGAAGUAAAGGACAGGGUGAAGGAAGAAGUAGUAGACUAAGCAUUUUACUGUUUUUCCGGAAGUGGAACAGCUAGUAACACCCUGUGUUACAGAGUCACUUCUUGUAAGCUUCUGAAAGUCUCUAAGUUUCUGAAAGUCAUAUUAGGAUGCGAUAAACAUAGUAUUCUUUACAAAAGUUGUUUUUAGACUUUUUAAAAAACUUGUACUCCGGUAGAAAAUAGGGAAGGGUUGCUAAAGGCCACCUAUCUGUCUACUAUUACCCAGUCCCCUCCCCAGGAGGGUGGUUCUGAAAAUGUGGACCCCACACCAGACUUAC